AUUUAUAUAAUAUAAAAAGUAUAGUUAACUUCCAAUUAACAAGUCUAAAAUAUUUAGUAUAAAUA
rnacentral:tRNA from 1 species